rnacentral:rRNA from 1 species
AUUGAACGCUGGCGGCAGGCCUAACACAUGCAAGUCGAACGAGUGGCGGACGGGUGAGUACUGUCUGGGACACUGCCUGAUGGAGGGGGAUAACUACUGGAAACGGUAGCUCAUACCGCAUAACAUCAGAUGUGCCCAGAUGGGAUUAGCUUGUUGGUGGGGUAAAGGCUCACCAAGGCGACGAUCCCUAUCUGGUCUGAGAGGAUGACCAGCGACACUGUAACUGAGACGCUGUCCAGACACCUACGGGAGGGAGCAGUGGGGAAUAUUGCACAAUUGGAGCAAUCCAGAUGCAGCCAUGCCGCGGGGAUGAAGAAAGCCUUCGGGUUGUAAAGUACUUUCAGCGGGGAGGCGUUACCCGCAGAAGAAGCACCGGCUAACUCCGUGCGAGCAGCCGCGGUGAUAC